rnacentral:rRNA from 1 species
UACGAAGGGGGCUAGCGUUGCUCGGAAUGACUGGGCGUAAAGGGCGCGUAGGCGGCUUGCACCGUCAGAUGUGAAAUUCCUGGGCUUAACCUGGGGGCUGCAUUUGAUACGUGUGGGCUUGAGUGCGGAAGAGGGUCGUGGAAUUCCCAGUGUAGAGGUGAAAUUCGUAGAUAUUGGGAAGAACACCGGUGGCGAAGGCGGCGACCUGGUCCGUGACUGACGGCUGAGGCGCGAAAGCUAGGGGAGCAAACGGG